rnacentral:lncRNA from 1 species
AUAUAUAUUCUCAAGACUUCAAGUCGUUAACUCAACAUUUUCAUACAAUUAUGCCAUGCCACAUCAUCUCAACAUUUCUCAUAUUAAUUAUGCCAUGCCACAUCAUCUCAACAUUUCUCAUAUUAAUUAUGCCAUGCCACAUCAUCUCAACAGUAAUAAGGUAUGAAUGCAUCAACAUAAUCAUAUCAGGUGCAAGAAAGUAAUCAACCGUAGGCCCUCUAAUAGCCCUGUACGGUUGAACCUAGAGCUCAAAAUCUAUCACUCUCACACUCUGCCGGAGUCACUCCGCGUGACCUGUACGGCCUUCUGCACAUAAGUUACGCUCUAGUGCUUCUCAUAAUCAUUUGUGCACAUAAUCUAAGGUCACCCACCAGUCGGAAUCUCACUAACACUCUCGCGACUGGCCUGUCGUACCCACUCCGCGUGGACUGUACGACUAGCAUCUACUUGGAUCCAAGACGAGCGUGCGAUGCGGUGAAUACUAUAAGCACUAAACUAUGGUGCAGGAUUUGAGCUCAAUAUACAUCAACAUCAUCAUAACAGAAAUAAAUACUCACAUGUGCGUCCACCGCACCAUUUCAUACAUAUGCAUCAUAAAUCAAUUCUUACCCGUGCGUCCACCGCACCAAUUCAUACAUAUGCAUCAUAAAUCAAUUCUUACCUGUGCGUCCACCGCACCAAUUCAUACAUAUGCAUCAUAAAUCAAUUCUUACCUGUGCGUCCACCGCACUAAUUCAUACAUAUGCAUCAUAUAUUAAUUCAUGCAUGGCAUUUCAACUCACAUUUCUAAAUACUUUUCAUAUCAAUUCUAUGCAUGGUAUUUCACUUCCCGUUUUUCCACAUAACUCAUAUGCAUUUCAUUUUAAACAUAUUUUCAUUUCAAUUCAAUUUCUGGGAAACGUCAAGUAUAUAUAUAUAUACGGAAAACAAAACUGCCCACUCACCUGGAGUUCGUCCAACAACUCCCUAGCACCACACAUCAAGGCGUCACGACGAUCGGCGCCUAAAACAAUAAUCAAAUCUAGCCUCAGAAUUCAUAUCGAUAGAACAUAUAACUUAUAUAAAAUACGUCACUACGUAGUUCGAUCCGGAAGAUCUGCCACUCAGAUUUUAAAUCCAUAACUUCCAGAGGUCCACAAUAUAUCUCUAGGAUAACAUCCUAAAAUUUCAUUUCCAUCCAACGGUCGGAUCUCCGUCAAUUUCCAAAACUAAGUGACGGUUAACAUUUUAUAUUAUGGACUUACAACUCCAAUUCCGGAAGAUCCGUAACUCGGAUUCCCAAUCCGUAAGUUCCAAUAAUCCUCCAAUAUUACGUAUUACAACGUAUCAAAGUUUGGUGAUGAUCCAACGGUCGGAUCGUCAAUUCAUAUUUUCACCUAAAUGCAAAAACUAUAAAACGUUAUUUGAACACCUAACCAACAAUCCUUAACAACUUUCUCAUACGGUGCUCAAUUUGGGUAUAUGAAUAUACCACGGUGAUCUACUCGACGUCACGGACGUCGAAAUAUUUUUAAAAUAAUUUUUUACUGUAGCACGCGACCCCACGCGCCAAGGAAGGCACGGACCUACGCGCCCCCACGCGCACCUUCUUCUUCCUUGGGUCGCUGGACUGGUUUUUCCGGUGACCGGAAAACUGGGCAUUUUUCAAAUGCCUUGUUCUCCUUCGUUUCUCAACCAUUUUCUUCGUAUAAUAUAUCAAAUUGAAGCCCCAAACAUGUAGAAUCACAAUAUACUACUUUAAAGCUCUAAAAACCAUGAAAUCUCACCGGAAAAAUUCCAAGAAAACCGGCCAAAGAUGAACCACGUGAUCCCGGCGUCUAAAUCCUUCAAACGAAGCACUCCGAGCUUCCUUGGGACCUCACUAAGCUCACUAUGAACUUGGAUUGUCCUAAAAUCAACCAACAAAAAGUUCAUGAAUAGUGCCAAACUCGGACCUCGAGUUUUCAACGCGAAAACGAAGGAUUCCUUACCUGAAAAUGGUGUCUACGUGAUCGUGGAGGUUCCAGGAGUUCGAUGGUGGUCUUAAAUUGGACGUUCGUGGAGGUUUGAUUGAGGUUGUGUGUGAGUCCGUAUGUUCGAGAGUAAGAGAGAGAGUGAGAGAGAGUUUUCUGAGAAGAAUAAGAUAGAGAGAAGAGGUUACGGGUUUUAGGGAGGGAAUUCAGGGUAGGAGGCCCUACCUAAGUCCAAACACAAAUUAACCAUAGUUUCGGAUCUUUAGAUAACACAAUGUCGUACAUUUACGCACCUUAAUCCCGUUUAAGGGCAUAUUGGUCAUUUCACGUCCUCGGAAUUAAAAUUCCGAGACGGGCUGUGACAAUCUCCCCUCCUUAUAGAAUUUCGUCCCCGAAAUUCCAGCCACCAACCAACCCAUCAAUACUCAUACCAAACUCGGUAAGUUUCUUUCAUCCGAUUCUUUUUCUCCUACGAAAUUUUCUUCCACUGAAUAAUUCCUUCACAAAACUUUUACCAUUUACUCUAUCUUAACUCUCAUGAUCUUCUUUUUCCAAUCCAAAGUUGUCAUUAGCUCCUCACUAAUUAGAUCCAGUUUAAUUCUCAAUAGUUACACCAGAAUUCCAUGAGACGACUCUGCCACCUAGUGACAACGCAUCGAACACAAAAUACAUUAAGUACCGUUGCCCUGUCUGGGAAAAAGUUAUUACUCAGCACUGGAGUAAUUGUACUAACUUGGUACAUUGCCCAACUAUCACUUCAAAUUCGAUCAUAACCAUCCUAUGUACAAGGAAACUUGUACACAUAAUCCAAAGUAAUAUCUUUCCAUUUCCACUGCGAAACAGAAAAUAGUUAUCUCAAUCCAAAGGUUUAUCUUUUUCUGCCUCAAUCUGCUGACCAAAUAAAACUGUCGAAUGGUAUGAUAAAUCUUAUUACUUUUGGAAUAUUGCAGAAGUUGAACAGUGAACUUCGUCCAAAUUUGCUUGCUUUAAAUCCUCAGCAUUAGGCACAUACUUUUUGUUUUCUUGUAUCCACAUACCAUUUGAUUCACGAAUCAUGUACUCAUUCUUUUUCCCUUCUUUCUCUGCCUUGGUUAAUUCUUAAAUUUCCUCGUCAAACAUUUAAGUUUCGAGUACGACCUUACCAAAAGGCCUAACUUGAAACUUAGCAAGUAUAACUUCUUCUCGAUCUUUCAUUCUUAACUUUACUUUAGUUGGUUUCCAAUCCACAAGAUGAUACUCUUGGCCAACGUGCCAGACAUUAAUUCUUACUGCAAUCUUUUUAUCAAGUGCUUCAACUAUAUCAAUCCCACGAUCACCCUGGUCGUACAAUCAUGUUCAUUAAACAAUUCAAUUUACCUUCGCUGCCUCAUAUCAAAAUCCUUCCAAGUAAUGGAUAUUGAAGACUUUUUGGAUUCGUAAAAUCUUGCAUUCUUACCAAAUAUAAUGCCUUCAUAACUUCACAGCAAGAAUGGUAAUCAUGACUUCCAAGUCACCCGUAGGGUAAUUCAUCUCAGGAGGUUCCAUUUAUCGUGAAACGUAUGCAAUCACCCUAACAUUUGCAUCAACAUGCCUCCAAUACCAUUCAAGAAACAUCACUAAAAAUUUAUGAUUACCACUAUUCUCUGGGAAUACCAAAAUACGUGCAUGAGUGAGGAAAUACUUCAGUUGUUGAAUCCUUUGCUCACAAUUUCCUUCCCACUCAUACAUAACCUCUUUUCUCAACAGUCUCGUCAAUGACAAAGCAAUGACUAAAAAAUCUUUCACAACCAUCCAAAAUAGCCUGGUAAGCUAAGAAAUUCCGAAUCUCAAUUAUGGCUUGUGGUUGUUCCAAAUUUUUAAUUUCUACUACUUUUUAAGGAUUCACUUGAAUACCUUAAGAAUAUAUAACAUAUCCCAGAAUGCCACCUGAUUCAUCUAACUUUAACAUUUGCUACUUAGCAUACAACCAACGUUCUCUCAAUCUUUGCUUCACCAACUUAAUACGUUUACAUGCUCUGCUCUGGCUCAGAAUAUGCCAGAAUAUCUUCAAUGAAAACGAUAUCAAUUAUCAAAGCAUUAUUGGAAUACUUCAUCCAUCAACUCAUAAAACAACAUGAGUAUCCAUAUAGCAUCACCAAACUUCAUAAAGACUAUAACAAGUCCAGAAAACCAUCUUAUGAUCAACGUCAUUCAUAAUCUUUAAUUGGUAAUAACCAGACUUCAAGUCAAUCUUUGAAAAUAUACAAGCACCUUUGAACUGAUCAAAUGAGCGUCAAUACACCACAAUGGAUAACGGUUCUCAUUCGUUACCCGAUUCCAUUAUCUAUAAUCAAUGCACAAUCUCUAAGUCCAUUUUCUUUUUCACCAACGAACUGGUGCUCCUCAAAAGUGUUAUACUGGGUUGAAUAAACUUUUAUCAACCAAUUCCCUCAAUUGAAUUUCCAAUUCACUUAACUCAUCAUGAACCAAUCUCUAUCAUAAGAUUUAUACCUGGCAACAAUUCAAUAGUGAACCUCACAUCUUUGCAUGAAGGCAAUCCAGGUAUACUUUCAAGGACAACAUUAAGAAAGCGUCCAAUUACCUUUACAUUUUCCAACUACUAGGAGCCACAUUAUUUAGCAUCACAUAAGCUAAGUAUCCUUGACAGAUCUUCGAAAACAAUCUCCUUGCUCUCACAGCAUAAAUAACGGCCUGACUCAAUCCACUUUGCAUACUUACAAAAGUAAUCUCUGGUCAUCCAGAUCGAUGGAAAGUACUGGUUUCCUGUAACAUUCCGUCGUGUCACAAUUAUAACCAACCAAUCUAAUGGAACAGAAUUAACUGAUACAAUAUAUAUUCUAUUAUUAAGCAUUCUGAAGAAGUACAAUACUAACAUAAAAUAAUCUACUAGGUUGCUUGCUUAACAAAUCCACGAAUGAGUUAUUAAUAUUACGGUCUGCAGCCCGCAAUACUGAUAAAUCAUCGUUGUCUCGAUAAGUAGGCAACCACUCUCAAAGAUAUAACAUUACUAUUUUGAUACUCAAUGCAAAAUACAUACACUCGUCUCAACUACAAUUAAUUACUACUCUCUAGGUAAUAACAUACAUAAUAAGAAAUAUAUCAGCCGAAGUCAACUAGAAUGACCAAUACGGCUGAUUCAACUCUUAUCUCAAUAAUACGUCGGUCGGAUCCACUCCGCGUGGUCGGUACGGCCGAGCCUAUAACUCACCAAUUUCUCAUGCGUCAGCCAGAUCCACCUCUCGUGGCCUGUACGGCUGAACAUAUAACUCAUCAAAUCUCUCUGUACUCACGGUCAAUCCGACCAAACUACUAAAUCCAUAACUCUGCUGAAUCGAUACUACGAUGUCAUAGAAAACUGUUGGGUACAACUGAUUCUAGGGACGAUUCAUAAUUUUGUGUCCUCUCUGUUCACAUAAACACAUUCCUUAAUUUCACACUUCCCAAAGUGUUAAUUUUGUACCUGCUGCACAAGGUACAUUUCCUUUACUCGAGACACCUUGUCUCAAAUAUCUGGAUGGAACGAGGCAAGUCUGAAAACUUUCUAUAAUAUUCAUUUAUCGUCAACUUCCUUGAUUCACAUUUGUAAACUCUUGCUUACUACCAUCGAUAAAUGCCGGAGGGAUAAACUUUUCCUUAAACAAGUCCUUAAAUAAUUCUCAAUCAGCUGUUUUCUCCGGUGACAACAAUUAACAAUCCUGUUUCCACCAGGAUACAAAUUCAUACCCAAAACCAGGUAGUCGUCUCGACCCCUUGUCAGAAGGAAGAUUCCUUUGACUUGCAUAAUCCGAAACAUCUUUUCCAAAUGUUUAAACCGUUACUUUGUUCCCUCAGGUUCAUCAUUUCUCUUAUGUGAUUCAAGUUCAACUCAUUACCCAUCUUAAAAUGUCCAUUUUGAUAAUAUACUGAAUCACCAUAAUAAUAGUUUCCCCUAACCCGCUAAAUCAGGGAGACUAAGUUCCUCUAACUACGUGGUUUGCUACGAGGCGGUGUAGUUCUGACAGAAUUCACUAGAAACUUCUCAAGAUGUCCAAGAUUGCAACCAUGCUCUGAUACCAACUGACACACCCCGUCCCGAAGGAGGGCAUGCUGGCCGUCACGUGAGAGUGACGUAACCAUUUGCACAGUACGGAAGCUUUAAGAUACAAUUUAUAAGUUGAUACACCCGAAGGUGAGUCCUAAUUUUGUCCAAUCUGUCAGAACACCGUCGAAUUCCUCGUAGUCACCACACCUUUGUGAUUUUUGAACCUGGAGGGGCGCAAAACCAAAAUUGAGUGGGUCAGUAAAACAAUUCUUUUCCAAAUCCAAACAUUUCUCAAAACGUUGUAACCCCUCUCCGUAAAACCUGUAUACUUUCCCAGAAAUGUAAAAUAUAAAUCUACAUAUAUAUUCUCAAGACUUCAAGUCGUUAACUCAACAUUUUCAUACAAUUAUGCCAUGCCACAUCAUCUCAACAUUUCUCAUAUUAAUUAUGCCAUGCCACAUCAUCUCAACAGUAAUAAGGUAUGAAUGCAUCAACAUAAUCAUAUCAGGUGCAAGAAAGUAAUCAACCGUAGGCCCUCUAAUAGCCCUGUACGGUUGAACCUAGAGCUCAAAAUCUAUCACUCUCACACUCUGCUGGAGUCACUCCGCGUGACCUGUACGGCCUUCUGCACAUAAGUUACGCUCUAGUGCUUCUCAUAAUCAUUUGUGCACAUAAUCUAAGGUCACCCACCAGUCGGAAUCUCACUAACACUCUCGCGACUGGCCUGUCGUACCC